CGGAUCGGAGUCUGCAACUCGACUCCGUGAAGCUGGAUUCGCUAGUAAUCGCGCAUCAGCCAUGGCGCGGUGAAUACGUUCCCGGGCCUUGUACACACCGCCCGUCAAGCCAUGGGAGCCGGGGGUACCUGAAGUCCGUAACCGCGAGGAUCGGCCUAGGGUAAAACUGGUGACUGGGGCUAAGUCGUAACAAGGUAAC
rnacentral:rRNA from 1 species